rnacentral:rRNA from 1 species
AUUGAACGCUGGCGGCAUGCCUUACACAUGCAAGUCGAACGGCAGCACGGGGCAACCUGGUGGCGAGUGGCGAACGGGUGAGUAAUGCAUCGGAACGUACCUUUCAGUGGGGGAUAACGUAGCGAAAGUUACGCUAAUACCGCAUAUUCUGUGAGCAGGAAAGCAGGAGAUCGCAAGACCUUGCGCUGAUUGAGCGGCCGAUGUCAGAUUAGCUAGUUGGUGAGGUAAAGGCUCACCAAGGCGACGAUCUGUAGCGGGUCUGAGGGGAUGAUCCGCCAAACUGGAACUGAGACACGGUCCAGACUCCUACGGGAGGCAGCAGGGGGGAAUUUUGGGCAAUGGGGGCAACCCUGAUCCAGCCAUGCCGCGUGAGUGAAGAAGGCCUUCGGGUUGUAAAGCUCUUUCGGCCGGGAAGAAAUCGCACGGGCUAAUACCCUGUGUGGAUGACGGUACCGGAAUAAGAAGCACCGGCUAACUACGUGCCAGCAGCCGCCGUAAUAC